rnacentral:rRNA from 1 species
CCAUAGCGUAUAUUAAAGCUGUUGCGGUUAGAAAGCUCGUAGUUGGAAGCUGUUGCUGCACUUGGCUGUGUGGCGCAGUGUUCAGCACUUUCACUUUGAGGAAAUUGGAGUGUUUCAAGCCGGCACAUGCCUUUGGACACAGUAGCAUGGAAUAAUUAGAUUGGGUUUUUGCUCCAAUUUGUCGGUUUCUGGAGCUGAGGUGAGUAUUAAUGGGGAUUGUUGGGGGCAUCCGAAUUUAGCCGCCAGAUGUGAAAUUCUUGGAUCUGCUAAAGACGGACAAUUGCGAAAGCGUUUGCCCAGGAUGUUUUCAUUGA